rnacentral:lncRNA from 10 species
UACAAAACCACAAGCUAUCUAACUACAUUUGAUGGAGAUACUGUACUUGAAAGGCUGAAUUUUGGGUUCCUGUACAUAGGGAUUGAGAAUUCUCUACCACAGCUUUGUUAUAAGAAAUUGACACAAGGCCAGGCGUGGCUGCUCACGCCUCUAAUCCCAGCACGUAGGGAGGCCUAGGCAGGAGGAUCACUUGAGUGCAGGAGUUUGAGACCAGCCUGGGCAAUCUAGUGAGACCUCCUCUCUGAAAAAGUUGACACAUGAUGUGAAUUGGGUAUCACAGAAGAUGUUUUUAACAGGACCAAAUAAGAUAUUUCUCUUACCCUUUUAGGACUGAGGUUUUGCCAAUACAUUAGGCAAGGACUGGCUAACACUUGAUAUCAUAAUACUAUAGGUACAACAGAAUCUUUCUUUUUUGUUGAUGCAUUUAUAAUAUAAUAUUGAGUGGGAGUUUUCCCAUUGCCCCGUAAUUAUGAUUAUGCCCCAAAACUGAGAAUAAAAUUAUUAAAUACUUCACAUUCUAAGUUAAAAUAACUGAAUAAUCCCAUAGUAUUAGCCAAGUAGUGUCACAAGCAUACCUAUCACCACCACCACUACCUCACCACCACCACUCCUACUCACCCUUCAUUAAAAAAAUGGUAGGCCUGAGAGAAAAUAAGGAGGCCUUUUGGAGAAUCAGUUUGUGGACAGGACUGUUCCCAAUAUAUAAUUGGAGUCGGGGUUGCAUGAAGAGAAUUAUAUCCAAAGAUUGGGAUUACCAAAAUAAGAGGCAUAUUUCUUUUCUCUGUUGGGUGUUUGCUGGGACAGAGGACUUGCUGAGCUCCUGGAGCUAUAUGAGUAGAGGAAAGAGAAUUUGCAAGAGAUGAUAGACUAACAGAGGCCAGGACAGCAAGAAAGUGGUCUUCAUGCCCAUCAUUUAGUGUGUCAAGAAUAACGGAGAUUCCCAUGGAUGGUAUGAACACCAGGGAAAGUAGGUGAGCUUCAGCCAUUUUGUCAGUAUGCGCGCUGACCUCAGCAAGAGGGAAUCUCUGCAGCAAGAGAAAUUAAAGUGGUUCAGUAAACUGGAUCCAGAUGACCAACAUCAGGAAACUACAUAAUGGGAAGCCCCUGCAGGCUCCCUCAAAGAAGCCUCAUUAUAGAUCUAGCUUUUGGAUACUGUCACACAGAGGUUAUCAAAAUCCAGUUAAUGAGGACUGCAUCCUUACCCAGUCAAGUAAGAAAAUAAUCGCCCUUUUCUCUGUACUUGGGGUCGGGGGAGAGUAGAGGGGAAUAGUGUAAAGAGCUUUGAAUUGAGCUGGAGAUUGAAGCUUUAAAGUUAACAACAUGAUUCUUUAAUAUAUUGUGAUUGUUCUAAUAACUUUAAAUAACUGAAAAAUCAGAGAAUCUAUGUAGGAUAUAAUUAAAGGAGUCAUCCCUCUUUUUUUCUAUUUGAUUUUAAAACUUAAGUAAAGCCAGGAACUACUAUUUUUAAAGGCACUGAAAAAUAACUUAUGAUUAGAAAACAUAUAUUUUUAUAUACUGGCAUGUGUAGGUCACACUACAAAUAUACUUUAUGCUUUCCAGUUAAAAGGUAAUGGUGUUCUUGAAGAUAUGUUAGAAAUCCAAAAUAAUAAUUUAAGAUAAGUUGGAAGACAUGGUAGAUUACUCACUGCAUGCUAUAAAUUGAGUGCAGAGCUAACAAGUGUGGUAUGUUGGUAUGUGUAGUUAGAAAAAUUGACUUUUAUGAGUUUAUUCAAUAAAAUUAGAAUACUUUCAAUUCUUUUAUUUUUGCUUCAUUCCAUCUGCCUUCCAGAUAUCACUGACUUUAUUACAAAGGUGUUUAAAGUUAACAUUAUUAAUCUACAUAUACUUGUUAUUCUGCAGAGUAAAAUCUUCUAAUCUUUAUGUUUCUAAAAGCAUGACUUUUAAAAAAAGUAACCACACAGUUACAACCAGGCAUCUAGGUAUUGUAACUGUAUUUCCUUUCCAUUUUCAAAUUGUGUUCUGUUUUUAUUUUUGAAUCAAUGUUAAAUAACAGGUAACUGUUUGUAACUUUAGAUACAAUAUUUUACUAAAAAGAUCAUAAAUGUUCCAUAAGCUUAUAUACUUUUUGUACUUCUUUUACUAACCUGGAAGUAAUAGAUUUGAUUUGCUUUAAAAAAUAACUUUUUUUCUUCAUAAAACCCUUCCUUUCAAAUCCUGUCUACAGUGUCUCCUUCUGUCUUCUGAAUUUACUUUCGUAUUACCUAUGUGACACUUAUUAGUUUGGUGCAAAAGGAAUUGCAGUUUUUGCAAUUACUUUUUUAAUGGCAAAAACCAACCUAAUAGUAUGUGUUGUCUUGUGUCUGUUUUAGCUUCCAAAAAUAGACCAUACAUUUUCCAAGGACAAAGAUCCAAUUCUUAUCAGUUAGCAUAAUGAUUGUUUCCCAAAGUAAUUCUUCCACUAUACUUGUAAAACUCAAAGUUAUAUUUUAUCUAGAUAUCUACCUAUCUAUAUCUAAAUAUAGAUAUAGUAUAGUAUACAAAAUUAUGCUAUACUAAAAUUGAAAUCUUUUUAAAAUUGAAAGGGUUUAUUUAGUCUACCUCCUUGAGAUAGAGAAAAAAAGGCUUUCCAUCAUCCCUCCUCUGUCUUUGGUGGUUAAGGUUCUAUUACCUGAAAAAUUGUGUAGCCAAAGCGCCAAUAACCAGCUUGUACGUAUAAAAAGUUGAUCCUAAGUAGUACUAUAUAGAAAUAAAUUUAAACCUAAAAUGUUUUUGUUUUAUAUUGACACCAAAAUAUUUUGCUUUUAUAUCUGUACAGUCUGAAAAUUCAAAAGAGAAGCAAUUUAAAGGACUUCCAUUUACUUCUUUCCCCUCUAAUCUGCACAAAAGGUUAAAUGUAGCAGUGCAGCAGUUCUGGCCAUCAAAAUAUGAUUAUUGUACUUUAAAAGCAGCCAUGAGAACUCUGCUCUUUGAUAGACUUCAACUUGCAACAACUAAGGUAACAUAUUAUCUGGUUCUACCCAAAAAUACAUAUCCUCAUCCUACUUAUCUUAGAUCAUGUGUAAGAUUCAGUUAUGUUUAAGCUGUCCUUCGGAAAAACUCACAGGUUAAUCUUUAGCACCCACUCUCUACUCACUUUAGGUCCUUAUCCCUGAUGACUACUUUAUUUCUUGCAGGAAUAAUCCAGUUCCAGAGGAGAUUAGGAGUUGGGUGAGAGGAUAGACUCUAAUCUUAGAGAAAUAAGUAGUUUUUAUGGAACAGGUGGUGUUUGGUUAUGUGGAUAGGUUUUUUGGAAUACUACUCAGCCAUAAAACGGAACAAAAUAAUGGAAUUCCCAGCAACCUGGAUGGAGUCGGAGACCAUUAUUCUAAGUGAAGUAACUCAGUGAGAACAAAUAUCGUAUGUUCUCACUUAUAAGUGGGAGCUCUUAAAAGUGGGAGCUAAGCUAUGAGGACACAAAGGAGUAAGAAUGAUACAAUGGACUUUGGGGACUAGUGGGGAAGGGUGGGGGCUGGAUGAAGGAUAAAAGUCUACACAUUGGGUACAGUGUACAUUGGGUUUUUUCCCAUCUAUAACCGUAGAAAGAAAAGAUUAUAUCAGAUGCAUAUUGAUAGAUUUUAAAGGGUGCCAAAAAUAUUUGAAUAUGAACUAUAUAUAAAUUCCUACUGAAGACUAAAUAAACAUUCAUGUAUUUUGGAAUUUGUUUUCUAUUUCUGAUAGACUUAGUUAUUACCAGGAACAGAUGACCAGUUGCAAGAACUGUCACUAUUUUAACAUUCUCCAUCAGCUGUGGCCAUGUUGGAUUUCUGGCACCUGAGCAUUCACAUCCAUCUGUUUAUAGGGCAUUAUGCCCACUCAUGAGGUUUAUUCCAGUUUCAAAAAGUCAUGUGUAAACCAAGAUUGGAAAUAUAUAUUCCUUGAGGUAUAAAUAAUCUAUUAUUUGAACUUUUUGAAUUAUGUUUUUAGAAAGAACUUUAGCCACUUACCAAUUUGAGAUAACUUUCAAUUAGGCAUAUAUGGAAAGCAACAUUAUCAGCAAAAUUUUAACUUUACUAACUAAUAAAUAGAAUAAUAGACUUCUUCAACAUGAGAAAGUUGAAAUUAGGAAAAUGCUAUAACAUAUCCUUGAAAAAUAUUUUGAAACCAACAUUUAUUUGAUAACUGCUGUGUGUGAGGUGCUUUUGUAUAAUUUGUGCAUAUAAUUGUCAUAAUCUGUGAAAUAGAUAUUAUCCUUACUUUGCAAGCAAAGAAACUAAGAGAAGUGAUUUACUUAGUAUCACAAGUAGGAAGUGACAAAGAUAAUUUCAAGCCCAGUUCUUUCUGACUUCAAAGCCCAUACUCUUUUAACCAUACUGUGCUGCUUAAGAGAUUGGGAUCCAAGCAUUAGAGCAGUUUGACACAUCUGUAAUGUUGAUUGUAAGCAGUUAUAGUAGUUAAAAUGUAAACAACAACAACAACAAAACAACCAACCAACCACC